AUAGAGGUGGGGUAAGGCUGCAGCCUCUAGAAAGCUCUAAGGAUUCAGAGGAAGAUGGGCCGAGACAAAAUGGAUCAUCUGCAGAGACUUAUAUCUUGGAAAUGGAUAAACUUUAGACAAUACAUAUUUCAGGUUAAAGAAAAACAUAGAACCGUCAGUGUGUGUGAGAUGCUUUCCAUCCUUUGUCGAAUUCAUCUUCUCUCUGACAACCAUUGUCGGCAAUUGAGUGACAGAGAGAGAGUAUAGACGUUAAGGUGAAUAUCAGACCUGAGCUAAGGUUCAUAAAUCAAAUGAAACAUAGCUUUCUUAUCCUUUUUGAGUCAUGGUGGAUGAGUAUGAAGUUAGCUGUGAUGAUGGUACUUGAAUCAUGUUCAGGGGAGAUUCACCCGUUUAUAUUCAGUCCCCAAUGGAGGGAAUGGAGGACAUCUUGACCAGCCAAGUCAUCUGCACUACAUUUUCAUCUUCCUAUCUUGAGAUUCUCUACAUAUGUAUGCUGAUGGAGUUUGCCAUCUUUGGCAAUCAUGCAACAGUGUAUUUGCCGAUAUAAUGAUUUGGUUUUCUAGACGAAGAAGAUUUCCUUCUGGUGUUUGGUCUGAGAGGGAACACUGCACACU